GACGAACGCUGGCGGCGUGCUUAACACAUGCAAGUCGAACGAUGAUGCUGGAGCUUGCUCCAGUUGAUUAGUGGCGAACGGGUGAGUAACACGUGAGCAAUCUGCCCUUGACUCUGGGAUAACUGCGGGAAACUGUAGCUAAUACCGGAUACUUUCACCGGAAGGCAUCUUCUGGUGAUGAAAGAAUUUCGGUCAGGGAUGAGCUCGCGGCCUAUCAGCUUGUUGGUGAGGUAACGGCUCACCAAGGCGACGACGGGUAGCCGGCCUGAGAGGGUGACCGGCCACACUGGGACUGAGACACGGCCCAGACUCCUACGGGAGGCAGCAGUGGGGAAUAUUGCACAAUGGGCGCAAGCCUGAUGCAGCAACGCCGCGUGAGGGAUGAAGGCCUUCGGGUUGUAAACCUCUUUCAGCACCGACGAAGCGCAAGUGACGGUAGGUGCAGAAGGAGGACCGGCCAACUACGUGCCAGCCGCCGCAGUAA
rnacentral:rRNA from 1 species